rnacentral:rRNA from 1 species
AGUGAACGCUGGCGGUAGGCCUAACACAUGCAAGUCGAACGGCAGCACAGUAAGAGCUUGCUCUUACGGGUGGCGAGUGGCGGACGGGUGAGGAAUACAUCGGAAUCUACUUUUUCGUGGGGGAUAACGUAGGGAAACUUACGCUAAUACCGCAUACGACAUACGGGUGAAAGCAGGGGAUCUUCGGACCUUGCGCGAAUGAAUGAGCCGAUGUCGGAUUAGCUAGUUGGCGGGGUAAAGGCCCACCAAGGCGACGAUCCGUAGCUGGUCUGAGAGGAUGAUCAGCCACACUGGAACUGAGACACGGUCCAGACUCCUACGGGAGGCAGCAGUGGGGAAUAUUGGACAAUGGGCGCAAGCCUGAUCCAGCCAUACCGCGUGGGUGAAGAAGGCCUUCGGGUUGUAAAGCCCUUUUGUUGGGAAAGAAAAGCAGCAGGUUAAUACCCCGCUGUUCUGACGGUACCCAAAGAAUAAGCACCGGCUAACUUCGUG